GCACCUAAUAAGGGAAUAAAUAACCUCCACGAUGUAGAGCAGUGGAGAGAAGAGCAAUACAAAACCACUCCCUUUUCAUUUAUAGCAUGUACGUAGAAACUAGUACUGCUUAUCAUAACUUACACGGAAAAUACAAACCGACUCAAGAUCAUAAGUUAACACCCACACACACGGUACGACUAGAGUACUGCAAAUAGGAAAAACAACCAACCGUUCUCAUAUAUACUUGGAUACGGACAAUUUGGUUGUUUCCAUUAUUUCCAACACAACAGGUACAUCAUGGUUCACCGAGUCGCAUAAUAAUGCUCACCAAAACGACCGUUGUGUUGGGCGGCGGUGCUAGAGAAAUCUGCGCCGCCAAAAUCAGAGCGGCGUGGUCGCUCGCGCAAGCUGACGCGGUGGGAUCUUCUACGAGAAGAUGCACGACGACCGUUGCGUUGGGCGGUGGUGCUAGAGAUUUCUUCGUCGCAAGAACGAGAGGGGCUUCCAUGCCGUGGGCGAGCACCACGGGGAGAGUUUCUUGCAUCGUCAGAGCGGCCUUGGCGCGC
rnacentral:rRNA from 1 species